AUUUGGUUUGAUUUAGUUUCUUUAUAUAUAUAUAGUUAUACCUAUAUGUAUGUAGUUUGUGUGCUAAAAGAGAGCAACGAAAUUGAAGGGAAAAAAAUGGAAUUGGUUAAUUGAUUUAGGCGAGACCCAAUGGAAUUGGUUAAUUGAAUUAGUUAUACCUAUAUGUAUGUAGUUUGGUUAUAUAUAUAUUGUGUGUGCUGUAAAAUGAUCAGAAGGUGCUGGAAAUGCGUAAGGAGAAAGCAAAAAAAAAAAAUAUUGAAUUGAUAAGGACGAUUUGGAGCGGUUCCUACUGGAUGAUAUGAGAUUUGGUUUUGUUAUAUAUAUAUAAUGUUUGUUGUGGAGAGAAAAAGAAGGCAGUCGAAAUCAAUGAGAGAGAGAAAUGGAUUGUGAUGAACCACGAGACCCACGAAGAGAAAUUGGUGGCUAUGAAUUUCUUGUUGUUUAACUUCACGUGGCCUUGUAUGAGAAGAAUGGGCAGCAGGUUGGCUAAAUGCAAUAAUGAGAAAGGAAAGAUAAGAAAAAAGUGGAAAAGAAGAAAUAGAAAAGAAAUGAUGAGGGAGAAAGAAAGUGGGUGGCGGGGUCCACAAAAAAUGAUGCUUCUUUGUUUGUUUUUCCUUUGUGUCGGUGGUUUUGCCUUUAUAUUGAAGCAGUUGUGCACUAAGGGAAUACAAUGACAGAAGAGAAAAGUUAGAUAAACACAGAGAGAGUGAGCUGAUAAAGAUAGAGUGAGCAGAGAGAGAAAGAGAGUGAGAGCCGAGAUGAACGGACAGGGAGAGGUCCGAGAGUUGCGAAGGAAGGCAGAAGCUUGAGGCUUUGAUGAUUAAGUGAGGAAAAUUCUUUUUCAGGACAUGGGAAAGAAGUGGCGGGUGACGUUCCACCAUAAGCUUAAUUUGGAUUAAAGGAUCAUUUUGCUAUUUUUGUAUCUAAGUCCCAUCAUUUUUUUUAUAAAACUUUAGUUUGUUAUAUUCAGUAUAGAGACUUAUGGACUCUUGUUAUUGUAAUUAUAUUCAUAGGCUGUAACUUUAAUAUAAGUUGUCUAAAUGUUGUAAGA